UAUAACGAAAUUAUUCGUUAUCAGCUUUUUCUGCUGACUUUCAUUCGGAGGAGUAUUACUACUUUAGAGGCAGGGGGUAUUGCGUCGUAUCAAUUCACAGGCAUAAAAAAAGCGCCCGAAGGCGCUUUUUUUGUUUU
rnacentral:sRNA from 1 species